rnacentral:rRNA from 1 species
AGUGAACGCUGGCGGUAGGCCUAACACAUGCAAGUCGAGCGGCAGCACAGUAAGAGCUUGCUCUUACGGGUGGCGAGUGGCGGACGGGUGAGGAAUACAUCGGAAUCUACUUUUUCGUGGGGGAUAACGUAGGGAAACUUACGCUAAUACCGCAUACGACCUACGGGUGAAAGCAGGGGAUCUUCGGACCUUGCGCGAUUGAAUGAGCCGAUGUCGGAUUAGCUAGUUGGCGGGGUAAAGGCCCACCAAGGCGACGAUCCGUAGCUGGUCUGAGAGGAUGAUCAGCCACACCGGAACUGAGACACGGUCCAGACUCCUACGGGAGGCAGCAGUGGGGAAUAUUGGACAAUGGGCGCAAGCCUGAUCCAGCCAUACCGCGUGGGUGAAGAAGGCCUUCGGGUUGUAAAGCCCUUUUGUUGGGAAAGAAAAGCAGCAGGUUAAUACCCCGCUGUUCUGACGGUACCCAAAGAAUAAGCACCGGCUAACUUCGUG